CCCAUCUCCACUUCACUAUGGCAGUCUCUUACCAGUCCAGUGCUGACUGGUGUGCUCGGAGAAUGUCUAACCAGUGUCUCCAGCUUCAGGUGAUAUUUAAAAAGUCCCAAUUGUCUCAGCUUGGGCUACAAUAGUGUGGUCCUGUGAGGGAGCAGGCUCUGAGAAGGAGCCCCUGGAGUGGCCAAUCUAGGACGCCUGUCUUCCUCCUAGUCUAUGGUGAUCACAGAGGAGUCCCAGGUGUUGGGAAAGACUGCAUUGGGCACACAGCCCAGCUCAGAACUGCUUGGCUGGGACAUUUUCCUGACAUGCGCCUUAGAGCCUGGGUAUAGGGAGAACUGAGGCUCCAGACCCAGCCUCUAAGUCACUACCAAGAUUCCCCAGCUGACGUCCACUUCCUUCCACCACUGUGGACACAGCUCAGGAAGGCCUCAGGGCAGCAGGCUGGCUCUCCCCACUACAACUCGACCCUGCUGAGGACAUCCGUGUGGUUCUGGGAGAAGAUUUGACUCUCCUGAGCUAGAGACUGUUCCAGCAGGUCGUCUGAGCCCCAGUAUCACCCACUUACUUCCCCACUGUUGUUGCAGGGUCUACUGAAGGGGCUUCUUGUGAAACCAGGACGCUCUGGGCUUCGGAACCAGCAGCCUGCUGUUCAGGUUUAGGCCGCUGAACAGCAAUUGAUCUGCAGGGGGUGGUCCUUGGGAGAAUUCAUGGAGAAAAAUCCACCCUUAAUCAUGCUAUUUAUAAUUCCUUCAUAUGCUUCGAGGAGGACUCAGGACAAUGAGGAGCUCAGCCCAUCCUCCCCAGGGAGGUCCUUGCUUUAUAAGCUCACUUGUCAUUGUGUUUUGAAGCCCAUGGAUUUGUACGGCAUGUAACUGACCGAGGGACCUUGGCAGCUUUACAGAGGAGCGCCGAUCUCUGUCUUAUCCGUCCGCCAGGCAGUCAACGGGCCCUGCCUUCAGUACCAUCAAGGACUGGGGACUCUGUCUCCCUUUCCGGUUGAAAGAAAAGGCUGUCCUGACCCCACCUGGCCUUUCCUACAGUCCUCGUGAUGAGCUGGAGCCCACACUCUGGGGUCCUUAACCCCCACCACCCAAACCAUAAUUUCUUCCUUUAUCUAAGGCAAACCACAGACCCCUUCCCUCACGGGUGUUACCCCGUCUCUGCCAACCACCCUCCUCCUUUGUUCUAACUUAUUCACGGGACAUGAGUUGUGGCUCAUUUGGAGCCUCUGGGAUCGCCUCAGGUGACUCAGCUUUUGUUUCCGUGUAACCUACCUUUGGGCUGUCUUCCUGUAUGCUCCGUGGGUUAUAGCCCCCAUACUCUACUGUCCAUAGAUAGCUGCUGGUGGUAUAAAGGUGAG
rnacentral:lncRNA from 1 species